rnacentral:rRNA from 1 species
AUUGAACGCUGGCGGCAGGCCUAACACAUGCAAGUCGAGCGAGCGGCGGACGGGUGAGUAAUGUAUGGGGACUGCCCGAUAGAGGGGGAUAACUACUGGAAACGGUAGCUAAUACCGCAUACUAUCGGAUAACCCAUAUGGGAUUAGCUAGUAGGUGAGGUAAUGGCUCACCUAGGCGACGAUCCCUAGCUGGUCUGAGAGGAUGAUCAGCCACACUGGGACUGAGACACGGCCCAGACUCCUACGGAGGCAGCAGUGGGGAAUUUUGGACAAUGGGCGCAAGCCUGAUGCAGCCAUCCCGCGUGUAUGAAGAAGGCCUUCGGGUUGUAAAGUACUUUUAGCAGGGAAGCGUUACCUACAGAAUAAGCACCGGCUAACUACGUGCCAGCAGCCGCGGUAAUAC